GAAAGUCUAUAUGUGACUUCCUAUCUAUUGCCAAAAGUAAUUAUAUCAAUAUCUUCAACUGUUUUUGAGCUCUAGCACUUUGAAAUAUGUCCCAUUAUAAAGCAAUGGGGAUUU